UACGUAGGGUGCAAGCGUUAAUCGGAAUUACUGGGCGUAAAGCGUGCGCAGGCGGCUUUGCAAGACAGAUGUGAAAUCCCCGGGCUCAACCUGGGAACUGCAUUUGUGACUGCAAGGCUAGAGUACGGUAGAGGGGGAUGGAAUUCCGCGUGUAGCAGUGAAUGCGUAGAUAUGCGGAGGAACACCGAUGGCGAAGGCAAUCCCCUGGACCUGUACUGACGCUCAUGCACGAAAGCGUGGGGAGCAAACGAG
rnacentral:rRNA from 1 species